rnacentral:tRNA from 1 species
GGGCCCGUAGCUCAAUUGGGAGAGCGGCGGCUUCUUACUCCGCAGGUCGAAGGUUCGAUUCCUUCCGGGCUCG